AAUUUUGACGCGAAAAUAUGGAGAAAGGCCAAGGGCAAAAUUGGAAUGUUGGAAAUUAGUUUCGGGAAUUUUCAAAAAAUAAACCAAAGGAAUUUGGGCUAAAAAACAAAUAGAAAAAAAUGGCCCAAAGAACAUAGGUGUCCGUCCAUGGUCUUGCAAAAAUUAGCCCAAGCCCAUGAGUAAUGAAUCCAUGAGAUAAAUAAUAAAAAGGGGGCCAAAGUCUUCAUUUUUCAAGAACCUUCAAGAACCAAAAAAAAAAAAAAAGAGAGAGCAAGAACAAGAGUAUAGGGGGUUUCGGCCCCCCCUUCCCUUCAAAAAAAAAUUUCCAAGUCUUUAGACUUUAAUCCAAAAAUCCCUUCCUUCUUGAAUUCUUGAUAAGUUUAAGGCUCUCUACAACGUGGUAUAAUUAGUUUGGCAAGAAAGCUCCGUUUGCGGAAAGUGGAAAAUUGAAGCAAAAGGUUUUGGACGAAACGGGGUUUGAAGUUUGGUGAGCGUAAAAGGCAAGAAAGGUACAGACGAUCGAGUUGGUGAUCCGCCAACGUAGGACAUCUCUCCAGCAGUUGAAGUGCUCCUUUGUUCAGGAGCCAUAUUUUGGGUACAUAUUCUACCGUUGUGCAUAUGUAUAUUCGUUCAGGGGUACGGCGGGGCCCUGUCCCGUCAUAUGAUUUUGUUAUGUUCAUUAGAGGCCUGUAGACAUAUUGUGGGUCAUGGGUCAUGUUUGUUUGGUUUGGUCUGAAAUCUGUGCCUUAAGCGGCCCGGUUACUAUAAUGGUCUAAGUGGCCUAUAUGUUUGCAUAUGUUUGUACGUUCAGGCGAUGCACAUUCCGCCUGCCUACGGGUUUCGGCAUGAUGUGUUUGAUAUGUCUGAUAUACGUGGCCGCUUAAGACGGCGUUUUCCUCUGUAUCUAUAUGAACUAACUUACGCUAAAAUAUGAUUGU